rnacentral:rRNA from 1 species
UACGAAGGGGGCUAGCGUUGCUCGGAAUCACUGGGCGUAAAGCGCACGUAGGCGGCUUUUUAAGUCAGGGGUGAAAUCCUGGAGCUCAACUCCAGAACUGCCUUUGAUACUGAGAGCUUGAGUCCGGGAGAGGUGAGUGGAACUGCGAGUGUAGAGGUGAAAUUCGUAGAUAUUCGCAAGACACCAGUGGCGAAGGCGGCUCACUGGCCCGGUACUGACGCUGAGGUGCGAAAGCG